rnacentral:rRNA from 1 species
AUGUCCGACACAAAUGCAACAUCGGCAUCGCAGGAAGAGAAUGUCCUUAAGAGAAAGUCAGAUGAUGUGGGAUGGGAGUACGGGAGUCUAGCUGAUGCUUCCAACAAGGAUAAAGUGAAGUGUAUGUUCUGUAACCAUGUGAGCACGGGAGGUGUUUAUCGUCACAAGCAGCAUGUGGCUCAUAUUGGUAAUGCUGUGGUCAAAUGCAAGAAAAGCUCUCAGGAAGCUAAAGACAGGUGCAAGAAAUCUCUUGAGGAUGCAUCUAAUAAGAGGAGGGAAAAGACUGCCCGUGAGCAAGAGCUUAGACAAAGUAUGAACAUUUCUCGCGUUGGAGAUGAAGAUGCUGCUCAUAUCGAAAGCACGGAGCCACACAAAUUAGGUCCUAUUGACAAGUGGGCACGGCCUAUUGAUCCUAAAUUGACUCAAGCUGAAGCCUUGCAUCAACAGAAGAUAAAUAAGGAAUUUUGGAAAAAGAGAACACAUGAAGUGCAACAGUAUGUGGCUAGAUGGGUGUACAAUCAUGCUAUACCAUUCAAUGCUUGUGACAACGAUGAUUUCAAGUUAAUGUGUGAAGCCAUUGGGAGGUUUGGUCCUGGAUUUGAGCCGCCAUCUAAACAUGACCUUCGAGAGACUUUGCUGAGUGAGGAACAUGCAAGAGUGAAGAGUUUGCUGCAAGAACGUGAUGCUGAAAAGAUGAAGAAUGGCUGCUCCAUUAUGAUUGAUGCUUGGUCAGAUAGGAAGAGGAGAAGCAUAAUGAACUUGUGCACAAACAGUGCUGAUGGUUCUAGUUUUAUAAGGUCGAGUGAGAUGUCGGCUGUAUCGCACACAAGUGAAGUCAUCUUCCAAUUAGUGGAUGAAGCAAUUGAAGAAGUAGGUCCUGAAAAUGUGGUCCAAGUAGUGACUGAUAAUGCUUCUAAUAACAUGGGGGCAAAGAAGAUGUUGUUGGAGAAGCGGUCGAACAUGUUUUGGAGCUCUUGUGCGACGCACACCAUUAACUUGAUGUUGCAAGGAAUUGGCGAUCUGCCAAGGUUUAGUAAGGUACUUGAAAAAGCAAAAGCAUUCACUAUCUUUGUCUAUGGGCACACACGGACCUUGGACUGCAUGAGACACUUCUCUUCAGGGAAAGAGAUCAUAAGGCCAGGGGUCACUAGGUUUGCUUCUGCUUAUCUAACUUUGGAAAGCCUUCUAGAAAAAAAGGAUCAACUGAGGAAGAUGGUGGUUGAUGGUAGAUGGGACAAACUAAGACUAGUUAAAUCAAAAAAGGGAAAGGUAGCAACAGCUACGAUGAUGAGCAUGGCUUUUUGGAAAGAUUUGAAGCUUUGCCUGAAUGUCUUUGAGCCUUUGGUAAAAGUCCUUCGUUUGGUUGAUGGGGAUGUCAAGCCAUCUAUGGGUUUUGCCUAUGGAGAAAUAGUGAAGGCAAAGAAAGAGAUCAAGGAAGUCUAUGGCAAUGUGGAGUCACGUUACAAAGAUGUGAUUAAUAUUGUUGAGAAAAAGAUGAAAGAUCGACUUGACUCUCCGUUGCACUUGGCUGCAUACUUACUGAAUCCAUAUUAUAGCUAUGUUGAUACUAAUAUUUUUGAUGAUGGGACAAUAACUGAAGGGUUCAUUAGCUGUGUGGAGACCUUUUAUUAUGGUGAUGAUGACAAGCAAGAUCAAGUUGUCAAUUUUGAAUUAAAGAGAUUCCAGAAUAGAGAAGGAUCAUUUGCAAAGAAGCUUGCGAGGAGUUGUCAGAAUUUUGAUUAUAAUGUAGCAUCUUGGUGGAGGCUCUAUGGAACUGAAGCACCAGCUCUUCAAAGGAUGGCUGUGAGAAUCCUCUCAUUGACCUCAAGUUCUUCGGUCUGUGAAAGGAAUUGGAGUACCUUCGAAAAUAUUCAUACGAAGAAAAGAAACAGGCUAACUACAGAACGUCUAAACUCUCUUGUGUUCAUACAAUUCAACUCGAGAAUGAUGGCCAAGAAACAAAUGAUCAAGGAGAAGAAGAUCAUUGAUGUCCUCUUAUCCGCUGAAACUACCGAAGCUCAAGGUUUUCUUUUUGAGGGCGGAGAUGAUUAUGCAGAAAUCGUCUAUAGGGAUGAUGAUGAGGAGGAGAUGGAUAGUACAGGGAUGCCAGGGAGUGGCAUUGGAGAAGCGAUGAGAGUCAAUGAAUUGCUCGAGCCACGUAGAAGUGUGAGACUAAGACAACUUUAUGAAGAAGAAGAAUUCGAUUCUGAAGAAGAGGAGUUUGAUGAUGAUGAGGAGAUGCAUUCAGAUGAGGAGAAUGACUAUUGA